rnacentral:rRNA from 1 species
AUUGAACGCUGGCGGCAGGCCUAACACAUGCAAGUCGCACGAGUGGCGGACGGGUGAGUAAUGUCUGGGAAACUGCCUGAUGGAGGGGGAUAACUACUGGAAAAGGUAGCUAAUACCGCAUACCCUCAGAUGUGCCCAGAUGGGAUUAGCUAGUGGGUGGGGUAACGGAUCACCAAGGCGCCGAUCCCUCGCUGGUCUGAGAGGAUGACCCGCCACACUGGAACUGAGAACCGUGCCAGACUCCUACGUGAGGCAGGAGUGGGGAAUAUUGCACAAUGGGCGCAAGCCGGAUGCAGCCAUGCCGCGUGUAUGAAGAAGGCCUUCGGGUUGUAAAGUACUUUCAGCGGGGAGGCGUUACCCGCAGAAGAAGCACCGGCUAACUCCGUGCCAGCAGACGCGGUAAUAC